CCUACGGGAGGCAGCAGUGAGGAAUAUUGGUCAAUGGGCGCGAGCCUGAACCAGCCAAGUAGCGUGAAGGAUGAAUGAUCUAUGGGUUGUAAACUUCUUUUAUAAGGGAAUAAAGUGAGGCACGUGUUCCUUUUUGUAUGUACUAUAUGAAUAAGCAUCGGCUAACUCCGUGCCAGCAGCCGCGGUAAUACGGAGGAUCCGAGCGUUAUCCGGAUUUAUUGGGUUUAAAGGGUGCGUAGAUGGUUAAUUAAGUCAGCGGUGAAAGUUUGCGGCUCAACCAUAAAAUUGCAGUUGAAACUGGUUGACUUGAGUACAGUUGAGGUAGGCGGAAUGCGUGGUGUAGCGGUGAAAUGCUUAGAUAUCACGAAGAACUCCGAUUGCGAAGGCAGCUUACUAAACUGCCACUGACAUUGAAGCUCGAAAGUGUGGGGAUCAAACAGGAUUAGAUACCCGGGUAGUC
rnacentral:rRNA from 1 species